GGAUGGGUGGCAGAGUGGUCGAAUGCGCUCGCUUGGAAAGCGUGUGUGCCUUAAUCGGCACCGAGGGUUCGAAUCCCUCCCCAUCCACCA
rnacentral:tRNA from 1 species